AUUGAACGCUGGCGGCAGGCCUAACACAUGCAAGUCGAACGGUAACAGGAAGAAGCUUGCUUCUUUGCUGACGAGUGGCGGACGGGUGAGUAAUGUCUGGGAAACUGCCUGAUGGAGGGGGAUAACUACUGGAAACGGUAGCUAAUACCGCAUAACGUCGCAAGACCAAAGAGGGGGACCUUCGGGCCUCUUGCCAUCGGAUGUGCCCAGAUGGGAUUAGCUAGUAGGUGGGGUAACGGCUCACCUAGGCGACGAUCCCUAGCUGGUCUGAGAGGAUGACCAGCCACACUGGAACUGAGACACGGUCCAGACUCCUACGGGAGGCAGCAGUGGGGAAUAUUGCACAAUGGGCGCAAGCCUGAUGCAGCCAUGCCGCGUGUAUGAAGAAGGCCUUCGGGUUGUAAAGUACUUUCAGCGGGGAGGAAGGGAGUAAAGUUAAUACCUUUGCUC
rnacentral:rRNA from 1 species